rnacentral:lncRNA from 1 species
GCUCAUCAGCUGGCGGACCAUAUUUACGCAAUGCCACUGCAUGACCUAUCACACGAAGCUAUAGUAAAGCUAUCGUUUUUCCUCCACCGAUUGACAUCAGAGCAAAUUGGAAUAAGUAUAGGUGGUUGUUUUGUGAUCAAUCCAGCUUCUGUACUCACGCUCAUUGGAAGUAUCAUCACCUAUUCCAUAGUGGCGUAUCAGACAAGGAGUUAGAAGUGGCAGACGUUAUACGAGAGAGUCUAAUUUCUCAAAUUGAAAAGAAGAAUUAAAUGGAUUUGUAAAUUGAUUAUGUGUAUGCAUGCAAGUAUUCACAUAUUAUGUAUGUUACUGUACCUGUAUGUAUUC